rfam:Pan troglodytes isolate Yerkes chimp pedigree #C0471 (Clint) chromosome 16, whole genome shotgun sequence.
GCUGGGUGUGGUGGCACGCGCUUGUAAUCCCAGCUACUUAGGAGGCUGAGACAGGAGAAUCGCUUGAACCCAGGAAGUGGAGGUUGCAGUGAGCUGAUGGUGCCACUGCACUCCAGCCUGGGUGAUAGAGCGAGACUCUGUCUCCA